CUGAAAGCUAACAGAAGGCACCAGAAUCCCCUGGGAUACUUUGUCACUGCAUCUCUGUGUGGACAAAGAUGACAGCAGCUGACACAAGAAAAACAAGUACAACUUCGGGAACAAAAUCCAUGUUGCGUGACGUUCCCCAGGCUGCUAAGCACUGGAAUCUGUUGUACUCAGUGCUCACUCUGCACAAGACAAGCUCGAUGCACAGACCAAAACACAAGCUGAGAGCCCAGCCCAGCCUGGGCUAUUGCAGAACAAUUUAAUCCUGCACCUUUUUGAACGCUUCAUGUCCCACCCUCCUCUGAAGCAAUCUAAAAGUACUCCAGGUGAGACUGCUGAACUCUUAUAUGGUAUGUAACCUGCCACGUAAAGCUGCCUUGAGGAGACAGGAAAGUG
ensembl:lncRNA